UAUUUAAAGGCCGGAGUUACUAUACUCAUAUGAGUAUAAAGCCCUUUGUACUCAUAAGUUUUCAGCCGUUCAGAUAAAAAAAAUGUGCGGUUAGAAUAAGAGUGGUUACGAUUAGAUUGAUAGUGGCCCCCCUAGGGUUGAGUGGGUAGUUGGUUGAAUAGUAUAAUCUAACGGGUGAACAUGAUUACAGGGUGAAUCUAAUGGCCAAAAACUUAUAAGUACAAGAGGCUCUAUACUCAUAAGAGUAUAGUAGCCGGACUCAUAUUUAAAUAGUGUAAUAUAUACAUAUAUAGUAUAUAUAUAUAUAUAUAUAGAGAGAGAGAGAGAGAGAGAGAGCAGGACUGCCAUGCUCUCAUGAGCAUGGAGGCCUUCAUGCUCUUGAGCCGUUUUCGAUGAUGGAAUUUUCGAUUCGACGAUCGGCUCCGUUAGACUUGAUCUAGCGUAUUUAAAAUUUCUAAAAAAUAAUUUUUACGAUUUUUCGAUAUCAUUUACCUAACAAUCGAAAGGAUUCAAAAUCAAUAAUUUUUAACGGCUGAAAAUAAAAAUUCUAUAAAAAGUGGUGAUAUAGCACUAAAAUUUUCGAUCGGAAAUAUUAAUCUUGUUGUAGAUAGUAUAAAAAAUUUUGUAUCAAAAUUUCAUCUGAUUUGAAUACUUCUACACCAUUAAACUUGAAAACGGCAGAUAUCAACCAUUAAAAAUUAGUGAUUUUGAAUCCUUUCGAUCACUAAGUAAAUGAUAUCAAAAAAUCGCAAAAAUUAUUUUCUAGAAACUUCAAAUACCCUAGAUCAAGUCUAACGGAGCCGAUCGUCGAUUCGAAAAUUCCAUCAUCGAAAACGGCUCAGGAGCAUGGAGGCCUCCGCGCUCCUGAGAGCACAGCAGCCCUGCUUUAUAUAUAUAUAUAUAUAUAUAUAUAAAGAGAGAGAGAGAGAGAGAGAGAGAGAGAGAGAGAGAGAGAGAGAGAGAGUGUCCGGCUACUAUGCUAUUAAUAGCACGAAGCACUUGGUGCUGCCAAGUUUUCCGCCGUUAGAUUUACCCUUUUGAUCAUUUUCAUCUGUUAGAUCAUACUAUGCAACCAACCACCGACUCAACUCUAGGGGGCUUACAUCACCCUAACCACAUAUCUGUUUGUGAGUUUAACGGUGUAAAAUAAUCUAAAUGCGAUGAAAAUUCUAUAGAAAAUUCUUUUCACCAUUUAGAAUAAGAUUAGUAUAUCUGAUCUUGAAUUUAAAUCUUUUAUCAUCAUUUUUUAUGAGAUUUUUAUUUUCAGCCGUUUAAUUUUAGACUACUUGUUUGAUAGGUAAAUAUCGAAAAAUCACAAAAUUUAUGUUCUAGGUACUUCAAAUACUCUAGAUCAACUCUAACAAAGCCGAUCGUCGAUUCGAAAGUCCGAACAUCGAAAACAACUUGGAAGCACGGAGAGCUCCGUGCUUCCAUAAGCAUACCAACCCACUCUAUAUAUAUAUAUAUAUAUAAUGAACUAGGCUAAUAAACUAUUAAUAGCACAAAGUCAUUGGUGCUACCAAGGUUUUGGCCAUUGGAUUAAGAGAUAUGCGGUUAGGAUGAUAUGGGCCCCCUAGGGUUGAGUGGAUGGUUGGUUGAAUAAUAUGAUCUAACGGAUGAAAUGAUCAAAAUGGUAGAUCUAACGGUGGAAAACUUAAUAGCACCAAGUACUUCGUGCUAUUAAUAGCAUAGUAGCUGGACCCAUUAUAUUAUAAUAUUCUUAUCUUUCAAUACUAAUUUUUUAAAAAAACUUAAAACACAAAUAUAAAAUUACAUAAAAAAAAUUACCUAUGUAUAUCGACCGUUUCUAUUGUAAAUGACAAAGUACUUGGUUGUUGGUAUCUGGGUUCUAAAUUCG
rnacentral:lncRNA from 1 species